rnacentral:rRNA from 1 species
ACCCGCUGAACUUAAGCAUAUCAAUAAGCGGAGGAAAAGAAACCAACAGGGAUUGCCCUAGUAACGGCGAGUGAAGCGGCAACAGCUCAAAUUUGAAAUCUGGCUCUUUCAGAGUCCGAGUUGUAAUUUGCAGAGGGCGCUUUGGCAUUGGCAGCGGUCCAAGUUCCUUGGAACAGGACGUCACAGAGGGUGAGAAUCCCGUACGUGGUCGCUAGCCAUUGCCGUGUAAAGCCCCUUCGACGAGUCGAGUUGUUUGGGAAUGCAGCUCUAAAUGGGAGGUAAAUUUCUUCUAAAGCUAAAUACUGGCCAGAGACCGAUAGCGCACAAGUAGAGUGAUCGAAAGAUGAAAGGCACUUUGGAAAGAGAGUCAAAUAGCACGUGAAAUUGUUGAAAGGGAAGCGCUUGCAGCCAGACUUGCCUGUAGUUGCUCAUCCGGGCUUUUGCCCGGUGCACUCUUCUAUAGGCAGGCCAGCAUCAGUUUGGGCGGUUGGAUAAAGGUCUCUGUCAUGUACCUCUCUUCGGGGAGGCCUUAUAGGGGAGACGACAUGCAACCAGCCUGGACUGAGGUCCGCGCAUUUUGCUAGGAUGCUGGCGUAAUGGCUGUAAGCGGCCCGUCUUGAAACACGG